rnacentral:rRNA from 1 species
AAUUUAAUUUGUCUUAUUUAAAUUUUUAAAAUUUUAUAUUAUUUUUUAGAAAAAAUUUAUUUUAUAAUAGUUAAUUAUUUUUGUGAAAUAAUUUUUUAAUUUGUCUAAAAGAAAAAUUGAAUUUUUGUACCUUGUGUAUCAGGGUUGAUUAAUUUAAAAAUUUUAUUUAUUUAAUCCCGAAUUUAAGAGAGCUACAUUUUUAUAUAUAUUAUUGUUUCAUAAAUAUUUAAAAUAAAAAUGUUGAAAUGAAACGUUAUUCGUUCUUAAUAUAUAUCUGGUUUUCUAAGAAAUAUAUUUAAUAUAGAAAUUUUUAAUAUAUUUUUAAUUUUUAAGAUUAUAUUAAAAAUUUUUAAUUUAUUAAGGGAUAAUCUUUAAUAAAAAUUUUUAUUAAUUUUUAAUAUAGAAUUUUUAUUUAAAAUUAAGAUUGUUUAAGGUUUUUAGUAUUUUAUAAUUAAGAAGUUUUUUUUAAUAAUUUUUAUGUUUUAUAAAUAUUUUAUUAGAAUUUUAAUUGAAAUAAAUUUUAAUUUUGUAAUUAUGAUUAAAUUAGUAAAAUUUUUUGUAUAAAUAUUUAUUAUUAAAAAAUUUAAUAUAAAGGAAUUCGGCAAAAUAAUUCUUUCACCUGUUUAUUAAAAACAUGGCUUUUUGUAAAAAAUUUAAGGUCUAGCCUGCCCAGUGAUUAUUUUAACGGCCGCAGUAAUUUGACUGUGCUAAGGUAGCAUAAUCAUUAGUUUUUUAAUUUGAAACUGGAAUGAAAGGUUGAAUGAGAAGAUGACUGUCUCUAUUUAAUAUUUUGAAUUUAAUUUUUAAGUGAAAAAGCUUAAAUUUUAUUAAAAGACGAGAAGACCCUUUAGAGUUUUAUAUAAAGUUUUUAUUAUGUUAUUUAGUAUAUAUGUACUGUAAUGAUUUUAUAUUUAGUUGGGGUGAUUGUUAAAUUUAAUGAACUUUAAUUUUUAUAAACUUUUAUUAUUGAAUUGUUGAUUCAUAUAAAUGAUUAAUAGAAAAAUUACCUAAGGGAUAACAGCGUAAUUUUUUUGGAGAGUUCUUAUCGAUAAAAUAGAUUGCGACCUCGAUGUUGGAUUAAAAUAUGUAAUUAGGUGAAGAGGCUAAUUAACUUGGUCUGUUCGACCAUUAAAAUUUUACAUGAUCUGAGUUUAGACCGGCGUGAGCCAGGUUGGUUUCUAUCUUUAAUUAAAAUUUAAAUUUUUAGUACGAAAGGACCAAAAUUUGUUAAAAAUUAAUUUUUAUUGAAUAUUAAU